UUGCACAUUUCAUUGACCUGCUUUCUUUUGUGUAAGCAGUGUUAUUUCUUCUGUGCUAUACAAAUAGUGAAGGUUAAUUAGCAGUAUUAUAACUAAAUAAUAAUGCUGCCAGUCUUCUUCAAACAAAA
rnacentral:snoRNA from 1 species